rnacentral:rRNA from 1 species
AUUGAACGCUGGCGGCAGGCUUAACACAUGCAAGUCGAGCGAGCGGCGGAGGGGUGAGUAAUGUCUGGGAAACUGCCUGAUGGAGGGGGAUAACUACUGGAAACGGUAGAUAAUACCGCAUAUCAUCAAAUGUGCACAGAUGGGAUUAGCUAGUUGGUUGGGUAAUGGCUCACCUAGGCGACGGUCCCUAGCUGGUCUGAGAGGAUGACCGGCCACACUGGAACUGAGACACGGCCCAGACUCCUACGGGAGGCAGCAGUGGGGAAUAUGGCACAAUGGGCGAAAGCCUGAUGCAGCAAUGCCGCGUGAGUGAAGAAGGCCUUCGGGUUGUAAAGCACUGUUCGCGAGGAGGCGGUACUCGCAGAAGAAGCACCGGCUAACUCCGUGCCAGCCGCCGCGGUAAUUC